rnacentral:rRNA from 1 species
UACGGAGGGUGCAAGCGUUAUCCGGAUUCACUGGGUUUAAAGGGUGCGUAGGUGGUUUUGUAAGUCAGUGGUGAAAGCCCGGAGCUCAACUCCGGAACUGCCAUUGAUACUGCUUAACUUGAAUCAACUUGAGGUGGAUGGAAUAUUACAUGUAGCGGUGAAAAUGCUUAGAUAUGUAAUAGAACACCGAUUGCGAAGGCAGUUCACUAAGGUUGUAUUGACACUGAGGCACGAAAAGCGUGGGGGAUCAAACAGG